rnacentral:rRNA from 1 species
CACAAGCGGAGGAACAUGUUGGUUUAAUUCGAUGAUACGCGAGGAACCUUACCUGGGCUUAAAUGUAGAGUGCAUUUUUUAGAGAUAGAAAUUCCCUUCGGGGCUUUCUGCAAGGUGCUGCAUGGUUGUCGUCAGCUCGUGCCGUGAGGUGUCGGGUUAAGUCCCAUAACGAGCGCAACCCUUAUCGUUAGUUGCCAUCUGGUAAUGCAGGGGACUCUAGCGAAACUGCCACCGUAAGGUGAGAGGAAGGUGGGGAUGACGUCAAAUCAGCACGGCCCUUAUGUCCAGGGCUACACACGUGUUACAAUGGUCGGUACAGAGGGCAGCUACCUGGUGACAGGAUGCUAAUCUCUAAAGCUGGUCUCAGUUCGGAUCGAAGUCUGCAACCCGACUUCGUGAAGCUGGAUUCGCUAGUAAUCGCGCAUCAGCCAUGGCGCGGUGAAUACGUUCCCGGGCCUU